GUCGUAAAAACCCUAUUUGUAAACAACCAGUCCUUUUAACUCGGGGCUGCGUCAUAAACACGGCGCGCUUGGAAGACCACGAUGUCAUCUUCCUUCUGUCAGGAGGAUCAAAGUGAAGCUACAGGAGUUUCAUUAACGUCAAUAACUUGGACCGAACGGUUUGUUUUGCUUGAUGAAGAGCAGGAAGGGCAGCCUGGAGAGAAAGAGAAGCCGGGUUGAGCCCACUACCAUCAUCCACGUACCACGAGGAAGAUGAGGGAGAGAAAUGAUCCUACCAUUAAAGAGACUGUGAAAAGAACGUUGAGAACGUCACCACUCUACAGGAAGACACAGUCCAGUAAUGGGUGUCAGAAGUUCAGUAGUGAACGACAGGUACUGUGGAAAAAUGUGUGUCAUUGUUGUACAAUGUCCUUUGACUCUGUUUACACAAGGUUAACACAAAAAGGUUUGAUUGUAAACUGAUAUUGGUAUGAAUUCAUGUUAUUCUCCUCUUCACAAGAAACAAACAAUCCAAAUUACCUGCAGCAAGCCCUUGAUGGACGCUUCAGCUGCAUCGUCAGACUGGUGAGACAGCAAGAUGCCAACUUUAAUGCCAAUUUAUUUGUGUAACAUUCUGUGACCAAAUGUAUAGAUAACUUUUUGUAGAUUGUAAAAAAGAUAACCCAUUUAUUAAAAAAAAACUACACUAGAAUUACCGCACUGCGUUGUAUGACUCCGCUAACCAGUGCAGUGUCCGUCUACAUAUUUCUACAUAUUUUCUCUCAUAUAAAUGACACUGUGUCUCUUGACAACUGAAACCAUAAGAUGAGGUCAGUGUGGCCUUGACCUUUUGACUUUAACACAAAUACACAGUUAGACAAUCCGAAAACAUACAGUUAUGCCAAAAUAUAUUUUGUUUCACAUUCUAGAUGGCAUAAGCAGAGACAUCAACUCAGGAAAAAUAUUUCUGUAGAAAAGAAAGCCCUGUACGUGUGUACGUAUGUAUACAUACACACGUACAAACGCACUAUUGAGACGUUUUGUUUUUUAUCAUAUAUUCUCAGGAAGGACUGAUGCAUUUACUGAGACGGGACGCGAGGGCCUACUCUGCGUGCUCAGAGUUCAAGCCCAGCAGGCUGCAGCGGGCCUGACAUAUUCCGGAACAGCAGCACAGUCUUUGGAUGACUCCUCUGAAGAUGAAACAUGGCGAGGUACUUCUCCACUGAUGAAGAACUGUGAGGGCUGUGAUUAGCUACACUCUCUUGCUACAAGGCUACUCUUGCUACUCCCUGGCAGCCUUAGGAAGGCAUUAGCUUGCUGUUGGGUAGCUGUUAGCUUCAGCAUUUUUAGUUUUUAGCGGCCUGUGUGACGUUUAUGUUUAAAACCAAAAAAUCAGAGGGAACCAUCUUCAUAAUGAAACACUAUGGUUUGUUUGUGUGUCCUUCAGUUCUUCUCAAGAGAAGCAGUACCGGUGUGCCUCAGCUCCACGGUCCCUCCUGCAACCUCCGCUCCUGAUGCUAACCUCAUGUCUCCAUCACACCAAGCAGCAGACCUGGAUUGACAGACCUUUCUCCAGAGCUGCCCCCUCCCUCUGAAACCCCCCUCUCCAAAACACUAUUUGUGUAGUUUUUAAAGUAUUUUUUGCAUGAGAAUUGUUGAUCAUAACAUUUCCAGCAGAUGCCUUAAUGUAAUGUUUGUGCACAAUAAAUGACA